CUGUUAUCACCUCUCCUUAGCCCUUUAAGUGCAGCAGGCUCUUUGGUGUCUCUCGCUGAAUGUCGCUUUGUUAAUUGCGACGGUAAACAGGACACAGCGCUGACCAUCGCACUUACCACAGAACCGCUGGGUUUAGGAAAGGAACCUGGGUCCAGGGGGAGUCACACAUGAAGAAGGGUUCGUAGAAGUACUCAGCAUUUCCUGGACUUGCUUCUAUCAUUUAAAAUGUAUUGCAUACCUUGAAGUGAAUGUAAUGGCUGGCUUAAUUGGAGAUAACUUCACUGAAGUGGCCAUGGUUACCAUUUAUGUCAGCGGUGAAUGUGCCCUUUAAUGCUGUGCCCCUCAGAACUUCUGCAAGAGAGGAAUUGGAGUCCUGGCAGAGUCACCAGAAGUGUGACAUUCAGGAAAAAAAAGUGUUUGCUACAACGCAGUUGCAAUUUGAGAUCAGCAUUCUGAGUGGAGUUAGUUCCAGCUGCUGAUAUAAUGCUGACUGCAGGCUCCAGUACCAAUGAAGAGGCUUCCGUUGAUGCUUACAGAUGACAAAAUAUCAUUCCCUCUCCUUUAUUUCAGAGAUCUCCCAUCUCUUUCAUGAGAUAUUUCCGGAUACUGUCACAGCAUCUGAGGAACCAUAUUCCAGCUGUUCUCAGACUUUCCCAUUCCUGGAAGCCUGCCCCUCCUUCAGCUCCAACCACAAAUGUCCACACAAUAGAAAUCCAGUCAUUCUCCAAGAGGUCAGUCAAAGACUGACUAAAGAUUAUCCCAGAAUGUCUCUGUUAUUUUUUCACUCCCAUCUAAGGACCUUUAGAAUCACAAACUCAGGCAUGAACUCAAUAUCUCAAAGCAACACACCAACACUUUUGUGAAUUUGCCCUGAUAGAAUUGUGUGUAAAGGUCUUUCCCAAAGUUACUAAGGUCUUUAGCUCAAGCAUGUCCACACUGAAAAGCAGGAUGUCAAAAUAUGAAAAAAAAAAAUAAAAAAAUUAAUAAGUCACAAACCCCCCAAAAUAAAGGAAUUAACAGGUUUUCUGUCCUCUUUAAAAUUUAGGCAACUUGCUUGAUGACAAUCAGCACUCUUGUCACUUUCAGAUGUCACCAGCUAUCUUUUGCUGCUGCUUCACUUCAGAUUUGAAGUUCCAUCUGCUCUUUGCUCUUUUUUGUUUGAAAAAACCCUUCCUACCAUGAUGUCUAAAUACUUGGGAAAGCAUUUUCAAAAGACCCAAAAAUGUAUGUGGGAUGCUUCAGAUUUUGUUUAAAAAGAAAGAAAAAGGAAUAAACCUUCAGAGUCCUGUUGAAAAUUUGUACAUCUGUAUAUAUUUGAUUCCUCAUGUCUUUAACCUCAACACUAGUAUAUAGAACUCCACUGGAUCCUAAUUUCCAAUAACUUUUAGUAAGUUAAUAUCCUAGUUCAUUUUUACAAUAUUACAUGUUCAGCUUACCUUUAUGUUGAUCACUAGAACACAUGUGCUAUGUUGCUCAAAUAUGUACUUGUAGAAUGCUUGUGUGUCUACCCACAAAUUAAAAAAAAAAAUUGAUAAAAAAUUAAACUGCUAAACCCAAACUGCAUUCAAAUAAAUAACUUACUCUA